GCCACACAGAGACGUCUGCGGCGCUGCUUCCCAUUCGCGCAGAUGCACACGGAUUCCGGGCCCAGCGCUAACUCGGAUGUGUUUUCCAGCUCCGUUUAUUGUCUUCCAUAAUGCUUAACGUACUGUUUGUAUAUGUUGUCCUUGCACUAUAUUUUGAUAUGCUCUCAUAUAUUUUAUUCAUCUCUGGCUUUCUACGAAGGCAAGCUCGCAGCAACACUGAGAAUAAUUAUUCUCCGCCAUCAAUCAAGAGUCUCCGUGGUUGGCUCCUCAUGGGAUGGCCUUGAUUUUAAGCAUGAAAUGUAACUCUUGCUCUUUGGGGCCAUUUCAUUCUUUGUUCCUGGGGCCUGCCUGUGGGCUCGUCGGGACACUAGAGAGCAGGCAUUCCCGUGGCCGCGGGAGAGCCGCGUUCCUGGCUGGCCAUUCCCGGGCCCUCUAGAAGGGAGCGGCUGAGAGCUCUUUAGCCCUACUUGGGGUUUAAAAGUGAAAAAGGAGCAGCUCUUCCUGGUGGAAAUUGCGAGCAGAGGCUGCGUGAGUUCCGUAACUCGCACACAGCCUCCAUUUGGAGCCAGAAUGAGCACGUGAGGGACCCCGGGCAGAGGGGCCAGUGCUGACAUUAUGCUCCAUGCAACCUCCCAUCCUGUUGUGGGAGAUGGUGCAGACCAGGGGAGGGAGUCAGUGUGUGAGGGGAUGAGGCUCCAGUCCUUUCCUGGGCACCAAAGCCAAAUCCCCCCUGAGCACAAGGAUCUUCCCUGGGUGACUGCAGAAGCAAGGAGACCUGGCCCACCGUCCCUGCUGGCUUCCUACUGCCCAGCCGCGUCUCUGCCUCCCUACCCCAAAGCCUGCAGCUCCUAAGUGCACUAUUUGGGCUGUCUUGUUUGCAGCGGAUGUUUGAAAGACAGACCCUCUUCUCUAGUGCUGGCCUUGAGUCCUCAGAGAGCUGCUGUUUCCUGGGUUUCUAGCUCCAUGGAGGCAGAAAGAGACCCCAGGGUGGCCUUUGGAGGAAGAUGAGCCCCCUGGGUUAACCGAGCUUCUGCAGUGGUGCUCCUGGGUCAUCACUGUUGCCACUGGUCAGAGCCAGAGUGUGUCUGCCUGUGCUCUCCUGAACACAGUGGAGCUAUUUCCAAGUUCAGGUGAAGGGGACAUGGAGGUUAAGCAAGGCCAGAAAGACAGAGACGUCCUCUUCCCCUGGUAGCAGGUAUUUAGCAGAUGGGAAAAUAUUAGCAGAUGGGAAAUCAGCAGAUACACUCAGCUCAAGAUGCAAAUUUAAAAGCCGCCAGCCCCUGUACUAAAUAUUUACACUGAACAUCUCUACUCCAUCAUCCGUCUUUUAUUUUUGUGAGCCCGUACAACUGCUCUUAUUACAAAGUCAUGUAAAAGUUGAGGAAAGAAAAUUUCACCCUUGGAAACAAAUUCAUGAUGAAUUAAAUUUCAGCAUGAAAAUAGAAAAAAAAAAUUCAAAUUUCUGUUGACUUUUGGGCUUAUGUCCUGAAAGAGUUAACAUACAUUCUUCCAUACAUAACUUAUUCACGUAAAUUAAAUGGUACACCCCCAAAACUUGUUUCCCUAAGCUGAUAUUGAAACUUCCAUUAUUGAACAGUUUUUAAAAAUGCAAUUCUAAUCCCUUUUUAAGUUUCAAUACCAAAAAAAAAAAAAAAAAAAACACUCCUGAGCCUCCAAAAGCCACCCUCUUCACAGACCACAAGGGCCAGAUCUGCCACGUGGUUUUUGUGGACAGAUUCUUUCUCUCCACAUUAAAAUCCUAACUGCCACGUCACACCCGCAUAGAACCUCAGUAACACCUUGACGUGUUUUCUCGCUUAGUCCUCCAGAGGCCUGUGAGGCCAGGCCUGUUACAUCCACUUUACAACAGGGAGACUGAGGCUGGGAUAUAAAACUCACCAAGGCCCAUAGAUGCUUGUCAUCAGAAGGGCUUGAAUCCGGCUUUUUUUGACUCCAAGUCUCUCGUGCUGUCAGCCGUAUCCAGGGAUUGAACUGGAUACUUUCAAAGGGACUCUCAAUCUAUAAAAUUCAACAAUUGCCAUUUUAUACGCCAGUGGAUUCAUUUAUUCCUCCAACAAGCAUUUGCAAGCCUGCCAUGGGCCAGGCACUGUUCUGGGGUCUGGGGAUAUAACCAUGAAGUCCCUGCCCCAGUGGGGUUUACAUUCUAGUGGAGAAGAUAAUGAAGAAGAAAGUCCGUAAUAACAUUUCACAUCAUGGCUCUGCUAUGAAGAGAGCACAGGCAGUGGGGUUUAGGUCAGACUGGGAAGUGCCUCGUAAUCU
rnacentral:lncRNA from 10 species